rnacentral:rRNA from 1 species
GUUGACCUCGGAUCAGGUAGGAUUACCCGCUGAACUUAAGCAUAUCAAUAAGCGGAGGA